CCCUCCUACGGGAGGCAGCAGUGGGGAAUAUUGCACAAUGGGGGGAACCCUGAUGCAGCGACGCCGCGUGAGUGAAGAAGUAUUUCGGUAUGUAAAGCUCUAUCAGCAGGGAAGAAGAUGACGGUACCUGAGUAAGAAGCCCCGGCUAACUACGUGCCAGCAGCCGCGGUAAUACGUAGGGGGCAAGCGUUAUCCGGAUUUACUGGGUGUAAAGGGAGCGUAGACGGCGAAGAAAGUCUGAAGUGAAAGCACGC
rnacentral:rRNA from 1 species